rnacentral:rRNA from 1 species
GACAGAGGGUGCAAGCGUUGUUCGGAAUCAUUGGGCGUAAAGGGCGCGUAGGCGGUUUUGUAAGUCGAAUGUGAAAGCCCAGGGCUCAACCUUGGAAGUGCAUCCGAAACUGCGAAACUUGAAUCCUGGAGAGGGUGGUGGAAUUCCCAGUGUAGAGGUGAAAUUCGUAGAUAUUGGGAGGAACACCGGUGGCGAAGGCGGACCACCUGGACAGAGGAUUGACGCUGAGGCGCGAGAGCGUGGGGAGCAAACAGG